GGCAGAUCUCGGGUGACAAGCCCCAGAAUCAGGCUCCCUCUUCUCUGGUCUUGGCGUGCAUCACCCGAGAAUGGCC
rfam:Myotis lucifugus cont2.5045, whole genome shotgun sequence.